GACGAACGCUGGCGGCGUGCCUAAUACAUGCAAGUUGAGCGCUGAAGGUUGGUACUUGUACCGACUGGAUGAGCAGCGAACGGGUGAGUAACGCGUGGGGAAUCUGCCUUUGAGCGGGGGACAACAUUUGGAAACGAAUGCUAAUACCGCAUAAAAACUUUAAACACAAGUUUUAAGUUUGAAAGAUGCAAUUGCAUCACUCAAAGAUGAUCCCGCGUUGUAUUAGCUAGUUGGUGAGGUAAAGGCUCACCAAGGCGAUGAUACAUAGCCGACCUGAGAGGGUGAUCGGCCACAGUGGGACUGAGACACGGCCCAAACGCCUACGGGAGGCAGCAGUAGGGAAUCUUCGGCAAUGGACGAAAGUCUGACCGAGCAACGCCGCGUGAGUGAAGAAGGGUUUCGGAUCGUAAAACUCUGUUGGUAGAGAAGAACGUUGGUGAGAGUGGAAAGCUCAUCAAGUGACGGUAACUACCCAGAAAGGGACGGCUAACUACGUG
rnacentral:rRNA from 1 species